GACGAACGCUGGCGGCGUGCCUAAUACAUGCAAGUAGAACGCACAGUUUAUACCGUAGCUUGCUACACCAUAGACUGUGAGUUGCGAACGGGUGAGUAACGCGUAGGUAACCUGCCUGGUAGCGGGGGAUAACUAUUGGAAACGAUAGCUAAUACCGCAUAAUAUUAAUUAUUGCAUGAUAAUUAAUUGAAAGGUGCAAUUGCACCACUACCAGAUGGACCUGCGUUGUAUUAGCUAGUAGGUGAGGUAACGGCUCACCUAGGCGACGAUACAUAGCCGACCUGAGAGGGUGAUCGGCCACACUGGGACUGAGACACGGCCCAGACUCCUACGGGAGGCAGCAGUAGGGAAUCGUCGGCAAUGGACGAAAGUCUGACCGAGCAACGCCGCGGGAGGGAAGAAGGUUUUCGGAUCGUAAAGCUCGGUUGUAAGAGAAGAACGGGUGUGAGAGUGGAAAGUUCACACUGUGACGGUAUCUUACCAGAAAGGGACGGCUAACUACGUG
rnacentral:rRNA from 1 species